GACGAACGCUGGCGGCGUGCCUAAUACAUGCAAGUAGAACGCUGAAGAGAGGAGCUUGCUCUUCUUGGAUGAGUUGCGAACGGGUGAGUAACGCGUAGGUAACCUGCCUUGUAGCGGGGGAUAACUAUUGGAAACGAUAGCUAAUACCGCAUAACAAUGGAUGACACAUGUCAUUUAUUUGAAAGGGGCAAUUGCUCCACUACAAGAUGGACCUGCGUUGUAUUAGCUAGUAGGUGAGGUAAUGGCUCACCUAGGCGACGAUACAUAGCCGACCUGAGAGGGUGGUCGGCCACACUGGGACUGAGACACGGCCCAGACUCCCACGGGAGGGAGCAGUAGGGAAUCUUCGGCAAUGGGGGCAACCCUGACCGAGCAACGCCGCGUGAGUGAAGAAGGUUUUCGGAUCGUAAAGCUCUGUUGUAAGUCAAGAACGGGUGUGAGAGUGGAAAGUUCACACUGUGACGGUAGCUUACCAGAAAGGGACGGCUAACUACGUG
rnacentral:rRNA from 1 species